rnacentral:rRNA from 1 species
GGAAUAUUGGGCAAUGGAGGAAACUCUGACCCAGCGACGCCGCGUGCGGGAUGAAGGCCUUCGGGUUGUAAACCGCUUUCAGCAGGGAAGAAGCGAAAGUGACGGUACCUGCAGAAGAAGCACCGGCUAACUAUGUGCCAGCGGCCGCGGUAAUACAUAGGGUGCAAGCGUUGUCCGGAAUUAUUGGGCGUAAAGAGCUCGUAGGUGGUUCGUCACGUCGGAUGUGAAACUCUGGGGCUUAACCCCAGACCUGCAUUCGAUACGGGCGAGCUUGAGUAUGGUAGGGGAGUCUGGAAUUCCUGGUGUAGCGGUGGAAUGCGCAGAUAUCAGGAGGAACACCAAUGGCGAAGGCAGGACUCUGGGCCAUUACUGACACUGAGGGGCGAAAGCGUGGGGAGCGAACAGGAUUAGAUACCCUGGUAGUCCACGCCGUAAACGGUGGGCACUAGUUGUGGGGACCUUCCACGGUCUCUGCGACGCAGCUAACGCAUUAAGUGCCCCGCCUGGGGAGUACGAUCGCAAGAUUAAAACUCAAAGGAAUUGACGG